UCUGUGUGCCUUCGUGUGCCUCCGAGUUGGAUAGAGGGAUGUUCCAUAACUGUCGGUGGCCACUGAAACGAAAACAUCAUCGUCCUUGCGAUGUUAUCACUUUCUGGACUUUAAGACCAGAAAAGAAGAGGAAAAUAAUUUAGUCGUUCGAUCGGCGCAAGUCCUUCGCGCUCUUACUUACGAUACCGGAGCGCCGAUCGAUAGAGCCCGCAGAGUUCAUCCGCUACGAAAAUGGAUACACCAGAGGUACACCACACGCAAACCCGACUUCUUCUCUCGUUCACUAAUACGAACAUGCGGCAACAUAUAUAGGCUCCAAUUGGUAUAUAUUAGCAUACAAUGUUUGCGUCAUGUCUUCUUUCUCUUUCUUUCCUUCUUUCGCAUAGACGUCCAAGUAUUCAGUCAUCUUUUCUUUCAUCCAAGGACAUAGUCGACACAUAUGGAAGAACGUUGUUUAGAAUUUACUAUGUAGCCUCGACGAAUCAGUCGUUGGUGCUGUUAUUAUUGCUGCUGCUGUUACUUUUACUGCUGCUAUUACUGCUGUUGUUUUUCUUGUUUUUGCUUUGCGAAAUUUUUAUUCUCUUUCUUUCUGUAUAUAUAUAUGUUUGUGUUUUGUCUCUUUCUCUCUCUCUGUAUUUCUUUCUCUUUCUCUCGUUGAAUUUUCUCGUAUCUUUUUCUUCUUUUUCUUUUAAUCUUUCGUUUCCCGUAGGUCCACGUGGAAAUUUCAUCGACAAGCAUGCAAGUAUGUACGAGCGUCGAAACGGCGCUCCUGCGGGCAAUUACGUUUGACGGAAGAGCAUCUCUCGCUCGUUUAACUGGGUACCUCAUUAAUUUAAAGCGAAUUUACUCGCAAGUAACGCAGUAUUCGCAACGCGGCAAGAAAGAUAUCCUGUCCCUUCUGAAACAGAGCUUAAUCGUAGUCGAAACAUAAGGGCACGGACAUCGUUAUGAAUAAUUAACAACUUGUAUAUCUCUAUAUUUUCCUUUACCCUCCCUUCACCCUUCCUCUUCUUUUCGAAACGAUAUAUGUGUACCUAUAAGUCAUUCAAGUUCGUUAAAAUUUUCGUACGCGACUUUAUGACGAUUUUUAACUGUCCUCUUCUUCACCCCCACCCUCCCCUGCCAAUCGAUUUUCAGAUUUAUAUCGUACAAGGAUUUUUUUUACUUUCUUUUUCUUUCUCUUUUUGUUUUUUUUUUUUAAGUUAUCGAUGAUCAAUCAACGAUUUUUACUAUUGUUUAAAUAUAAACGACAAUUAUUCAUUUAACUCCGUUACUUUGUUUAAAUGUCAAUCAAUUGAAAUUUUUAUGAUCUCGUUAACAGUCUCUUGAGUCUUCUCCCGUUUUCUUCUUUCUUUUUGUUUUUUUUCUUUUUUCUUUCUUUCAUUCUCUAUUUCUUUCGUUUUGACGUUUAUUUGCAUAUCGGUACCCAUCAGGAAUUACGAUGUUAUUACGGUCGUUAAAUCUGAAGGAUUCGAACCUAUCGAAUCGGUUUUUUUUUUAAACUUAGAUCCCCCUCCGAGAAGUAUGUUCCAAUUGCAUCCAUUUGAUAAGUAAGUACGAGCUCUCGUUCCCCACGAUAUCUUUGUAUUUACCACCCUUAUUUAUCCUCUUUCGUGUAUUGCACACGUCUCUUCAAAGUUCACUAUAGUUGACCUUAACGCGUGGCAGCUCCGUCGAGAAUCUAUCUAGUCUUUCCUGGACACUCAAACUUUCCGGGAAAAGUUUAUAUUCUUUCUCAUUAUAUGACUAAAAAAUAUAUCUCUCAUAUCUCUUCGAUGUUUAAGCUGAAAAAAAAGCCUGAGAUUUGUUUGACUAUAAUUGGAUAGAAAUUUAUUUGACGAAUUUAUUAAACAUAAGAAUGAGAUAUUUAUGAUAUUACAGAUUAGUUAUAUCUAAAUUACAUCUAAAUGCUAAUUUAGUUACGUUUAUUAAUAAAUAUUUUUGAAUAAAUAUAAAUAUACAUGCAAUUUUAUUAUUAACAAAUAUACUUCAUAAACAUAAUUUAUAAACAUUAUUAUUAUAUAAACAGAAACACGUUGAUGACAUGAGAUUACGUGUAGAAGAAAUUGUUUAUAUAGACAUACACAGGUAUAUGCAAUUUUAUAGUUAAUACAUAUACUUAAAAAUAAUGUUUCUAAUGCUCGUUUUAGAAGAGAAUUUUUUAAUCGAUUUUAUUUGAGGAUUCUUUCUCAAAAAGAAAUUGUUCUUUGAAAGAUCGCAAAUACGAUUCAGAAAAUAUAAAUUUGAAUAUAGGAAGGGAGAUAAGAACCGGGAAUGUCUUUUGCAACGUUGAUUUUAUAACGAUUUCACGUUGAUUUCUUGGGUAAUCUUGAUACCGUACAAAAUUGUUUAAACUCACAUCUACGAACGAUUUUUAUCGUUAUCGGCUCGUACCAGCGUCAAA